GCCUGCCUUGCAUGGUCUUUCAUGUACCUUUAAGUUUGCAAAGACCUAUUAAAUACUUGCAUAAUUUUGAAAGUUCAUAUUUCAGGAAACAAUGAGUUAAGACAUACAUGUAAGAUGUCUAAAUCUACGCCAUAUCUCUUACAAACCCUAACGACAAUUCGCUGAAAUACAAGUUGGCCUGAUAUGUCAUUAAGCAAACAAACGCUGGAGUUAAUAUUUGAUAUGCCGAUUUUCGCUAAUUUUAGACACAUCCCAAAAUGUGCUCCCGAUUUUGAACAUUAAUAUCUCCGUGAAUUCUUAAGUAAAAUACAACUG